AGUCACUGACAUUAGACUACCCCCGUAGUCCAGCCGUAAACAAUGUGCGUUAGGUGUGUCGGUAACCACGCGUUACUGAUGCGCCGAAGAGAAAUCGUGAAACGCACCACCUGGGAAGUACGGUCGCAAGGCUGAAACUUAAAAGGAAUUGGCGGGGGAGCACCACAACAGGUGGAGCCUGCGGUUUAAUUGGAUUCAACGCCGGACAUCUCACCGGAUAAGACAGCUGAAUGAUUGUCAAUCUGAAGGUUUUACAUGACUAGCUG
rnacentral:rRNA from 1 species